rnacentral:miRNA from 1 species
CGCGGCUUCAUGAAUGCCCACGAGCGAUCCCCAGAGACUCGCGUGGUGGCGGCGGCGGCGGCGGCGGCGG